AACGCUGGCGGCGUGCUUAACACAUGCAAGUCGAACGGAAAGGCCCUGCUUUUGUGGGGUGCUCGAGUGGCGAACGGGUGAGUAACACGUGAGUAACCUGCCCUUGACUUUGGGAUAACUUCAGGAAACUGGGGCUAAUACCGGAUAGGAGCUCCUGCUGCAUGGUGGGGGUUGGAAAGUUUCGGCGGUUGGGGAUGGACUCGCGGCUUAUCAGCUUGUUGGUGGGGUAGUGGCUUACCAAGGCUUUGACGGGUAGCCGGCCUGAGAGGGUGACCGGCCACAUUGGGACUGAGAUACGGCCCAGACUCCUACGGGAGGCAACAGUGGGGAAUAUUGCACAAUGGGCGGAAGCCUGAUGCAGCAACGCCGCGUGCGGGAUGACGGCCUUCGGGUUGUAAACCGCUUUCGCCUGUGACGAAGCGUGAGUGACGGUAAUGGGUAAAGAAGCACCGGCUAACUACGU
rnacentral:rRNA from 1 species